AUGAGUUUACCUCAAUUUCAAAAACGACCAAGACCGGUUCAAACUUUGCUUUCAUUGCUAUGGACUUCAAAGCAAUCGUUGGACUCUCUUGAAAAGAAGAUAACAGAAGUGAAAUUGAGAGACAAGAAAGUAAGACAGAUUGGGCAAAUGGGAUCGGUGUGCGAUGUAGGCCAGAUUCAAAGCUACGUCCCCAUAGGAUCCAAAGCUUUCUGCCAAGUAACCGGUUUGAUUCUACACUUGGAUUUUUGCCGGACAAUCGAAAUCUACUUUACCCUGUUAAGGUCAGCCAGCAAACCAGACGUAGAG